rnacentral:rRNA from 1 species
AGAGUUUGAUCAUGGCUCAGGACGAACGCUGGCGGCGUGCUUAACACAUGCAAGUCGAACGGAAAGGCCCUUCGGGGUACUCGAGUGGCGAACGGGUGAGUAACACGUGGGUGAUCUGCCCUGCACUUUGGGAUAAGCCUGGGAAACUGGGUCUAAUACCGAAUAGGACCGCGCUCUUCAUGGGGUGUGGUGGAAAGCUUUUGCGGUGUGGGAUGGGCCCGCGGCCUAUCAGCUUGUUGGUGGGGUAAUGGCCUACCAAGGCGACGACGGGUAGCCGGCCUGAGAGGGUGACCGGCCACACUGGGACUGAGAUACGGCCCAGACUCCUACGGGAGGCAGCAGUGGGGAAUAUUGCACAAUGGGCGCAAGCCUGAUGCAGCGACGCCGCGUGAGGGAUGACGGCCUUCGGGUUGUAAACCUCUUUCAAUAGGGACGAAGCGCAAGUGACGGUACCUAUAGAAGAAGGACCGGCCAACUACGUGCCAGCAGCCGCGGUAAUACGUAGGGUCCGAGCGUUGUCCGGAAUUACUGGGCGUAAAGAGCUCGUAGGUGGUUUGUCGCGUUGUUCGUGAAAACUCACAGCUUAACUGUGGGCGUGCGGGCGAUACGGGCAGACUAGAGUACUGCAGGGGAGACUGGAAUUCCUGGUGUAGCGGUGGAAUGCGCAGAUAUCAGGAGGAACACCGGUGGCGAAGGCGGGUCUCUGGGCAGUAACUGACGCUGAGGAGCGAAAGCGUGGGUAGCGAACAGGAUUAGAUACCCUGGUAGUCCAA